UCUAUAAUUUCUUACUUUUUGGUUUCUCUUUAGUACUUGGGAAAGAUUUUUAGAAAAUGUACCAUGUCUCAAUCAACUAUGCUAAGGGGAAUCACAGAGGGCAAAUAUUCAAGUCUAGUUGAUGUUUUAGAGGAAGAAAAAGUUCUGGAGCCUGGCGGCUCCAUGUGGCAAAAGGGAAAGAAUGUCUCAGGAGGAAGGAAAGGAGAGUGACCAGGUCUUCUCCCCAUCCAGUCUUCUCCUUGAGAAGAUCAGUUUUUGAAACUGUUUGGCACUUCAAUUUCAUCCAGUGAAACACAAAAUAAGAAUGCCAGUAUGCUGCAAGUAUGCUCCUAUCCUCAGACUCUUCUCUCCCGGUCUCCUCUCCAAGACUCCACUUUGGAAGUUUCCAGUCUUUUCUAAGACAUCCAUCCACUCCCAUUUCCAAACUCAGUGUGCGCUUGUGAGGUGUGUACAUGUGCACAUGCAGAUAACAGUGGGGGACCAUGGAGUCUGUCUCCUGCCAGAGCAAUUCAGUAGCAGUUCUGGGUCUUACACAAAGACCAUUUGUGAGAAACAAAUUUUGACAUUUGCCAUCAACUGGGAAGGCAAUAACAGAGCAAACAGUAAUUGAUAGGUAGGAAACAGGGCUGCAAGUUACUGAGAAAAAACAAGUUUAAUAUUAAAGCAGGAUUCGUCUACAGGGCCUUAGAAAAUGCAAAGACCUUCAGAGAUUUAAUCCCAUCAAGACCUCAUGGAAUAGCUUGGGACAGUUAGCACUGCUCUUUCCAGGACUGAGGGGCAGCAAAAUUAUUUGGCUUUUGAGCCCAAGCCUGCAUUUGUGAACUACUGAUCUGUCUUUGAAAACGCUCUUUUCUCUUGAAGCCACCCAUACUCAUUCCUCUUUUAAAAAGCAGUCAUUGGGAAAUAUCACCUAGGGGAUAUGUUCGUCUCAGGAUCAUCUCAGUACUGCUUUUCCUGAAGCUUCACACAGACAAUUUGCAUUGAAGUCCUCCAUCUUUUACUUUAGAAAGAAAGCUUGGAUCCAUUAAAAAUAAUUUUGAAUUUGAAUUAAAAUUAAAAUUAAUUGGGAGAUCAGUGUUCUGAAUAAA